rnacentral:rRNA from 1 species
AUUGAACGCUGGCGGCAUGCUUUACACAUGCAAGUCGAACGGCAGCGCGGGCUUCGGCCUGGCGGCGAGUGGCGAACGGGUGAGUAAUGCAUCGGAACGUGCCCAGUAGUGGGGGAUAGCCCGGCGAAAGCCGGAUUAAUACCGCAUACGACCUGAGGGUGAAAGCGGGGGACCGAAAGGCCUCGCGCUAUUGGAGCGGACGAUGUCGGAUUAGCUAGUUGGUGGGGUAAAGGCUUACCAAGGCGACGAUCCGUAGCUGGUCUGAGAGGACGACCAGCCACACUGGGACUGAGACACGGCCCAGACUCCUACGGGAGGCAGCAGUGGGGAAUUUUGGACAAAGGGGGCAACCCUGAUCCAGCCAUGCCGCGUGCGGGAAGAAGGCCUUCGGGUUGUAAACCGCUUUUGUUCGGGAAGAAAUCCUCUGGGCUAAUACCCCGGGGGGAUGACGGUACCGGAAGAAUAAGCACCGGCUAACUACGUG